AGAGAGCAUGCUGAGGUUUUUGUGGGGGUGGGGUGGGGGGAAAGUAGCCUGAAGAGCCUCUGGCUAUGGAAGAGAGAUCAGAUGGGCCUGGUCUGAACUUACAUACAAGCCACACCACACAAAGAGGCCCAGGCUGGGGUAGGAGGGAUUCCACCCUAGCUGUUUACAAACAAACGCUGGUGCCUACUUCCUGGCCGCAGCCUGUGACUGUUCUGAAGCAACAAGUGCCACCGAGAAUUCCAUCGGACUUGGUGACCUGUGAUGGCCCAGCCCAGCUGCAGCAGAAAUAAAACACUGGGAGGGGACACAAACUAGUGCCAGCGGGACUUCUGGCAGACACCAGGCGGAGCCCAUGGAAAGGCUGAUUACCCCGCAUUAGCGGAGGACACCGUGACACAAAGAGGCCAGCCAUCUGCCCCUAAGCUCACAGCCUUCCAACCCAUGGGGUCUGAAACCGGGCUGUCUGGCUCCAAUGUCCCACUGGUCCUGAGACUCUGGAAAUUAAUUACAGGACUGAGGGAGGCACCUUCCGGCUCCAAGUGUGAUCCUGGAAAUGUGGCUGACUCCGAGGACCUUAGUUUCCUUCCUGACCCCAGGGCACAGGACGAGGGGGUGGGAAAUAAACACAGCCAACCCUGUCCUUAGGACUCUCUUAUGCACACCUCUCGUCCGUCUUCAGGAUGACACCGAACACCUUGUUUUGACCAUUAUCUCAGAGAACUUAAGAUCCAUCCCAACAGUAGACAAUAAAAGGGUGGCCUGCCAGCGAGUUUCAGAGAGACCAACUAAACUUCCUGAGGCCACACAGCAAGCCAGGACAGGUUCUAGCAUCCAAGGAAACGGAGUUUCCUCCCAUUCGAAGUCCGAGAGAUCUGUCAAGAACAGCCCAGGCUGAGGUUAGAGCAGGAAACCACACGUCUCCCGCUUCCCUUCCCCAGGCACCUAGUCUGGUCUGGUCUCCCAAAGGCAGAGGACGACACCUCAGGCAAAUAGUAGGCCUGAAAGCCAUUUGCUGCUCUUCAGUCCCCCAAGUCAAGCAAGCUGGAGAAGAGACCCUGGAAGUAUCUCCCAAGGGCGGCGACUCUCAUCAGUCAGUAACCUGGGGGUAAAUCCCGCUCCAUUCGGACGCUCUGCUUCCUCAUCUUUAAAGUGGACAAAAUCCUCGACUCACACUUUUAAGAGAGCUAAAGAUACGACCAAGGCAGGGGAAGCGCAGGUGGUGGGCUCUACUGUAAUCACCAGUGGAAAGACCAGGAGAUGAAGCCCAGAGAGGCUCAGCAAGUUACCCAAGGUCACACUGCUAUUCAAUGCUCCAGGCUGGGCCAAGAGGAACCCGGGCCUCCCAUCCUUUCUCACCCGCUUCUAGACACUGCGUACACUCAUCCACAAGGGACACUAGCGACUGCCUAGGACCGAAGGGCAUCCACGGAGCCGACGCCCCUUGCCCAGACCGGCAGACUGAGGCCUCCGCCCACCUUUUGAUGCUUGCGCUCUUUUUCAAUGCGGUCCAUCCUCUCUACGCGCAACCGGUCCAGUUCCAGGCGCAGCUCGUCCAGCUCGGGAGCGACGUGGUGCCGGCUA